rnacentral:rRNA from 1 species
UAAUACGUAGGGCGCAAGCGUUGUCCGGAAUUAUUGGGCGUAAAGAGCUCGUAGGCGGUCUGUCGCGUCUGGUGUGAAAUCCCAUGGCUCAACUGUGGGCUUGCAUCGGGUACGGGCAGACUAGAGUGCUGUAGGGGAGACUGGAAUUCCUGGUGUAGCGGUGGAAUGCGCAGAUAUCAGGAGGAACACCGAUGGCGAAGGCAGGUCUCUGGGCAGUUACUGACGCUGAGGAGCGAAAGCAUGGGGAGCGAACAGGAUUAGAUACCCUGGUAGUCCAUGCCGUAAACGUUGGGCACUAGGUGUGGGGCGGGUUCCACUCGUUCUGUGCCGCAGCUAACGCAUUAAGUGCCCCGCCUGGGGAGUACGGCCGCAAGGCUA